rnacentral:rRNA from 1 species
GAUGAACGCUAGCGACAGGCCUAACACAUGCAAGUCGAGGGGCAGCACAAAGUAGCAAUACUUGGUGGCGACCGGCGCACGGGUGAGUAACACGUAUGCAACCUACCUGUAAGCGGGGAAUAACCCGGAGAAAUUCGGACUAACACCGCAUAAUACUGAAUUACUGCAUGGUUUUUCAGUUAAAUAUUUAUAGCUUACAGAUGGGCAUGCGUAUGAUUAGAUAGUUGGUAGGGUAACGGCCUACCAAGUCAACGAUCAUUAGGGGUUCUGAGAGGAAGGUCCCCCACACUGGUACUGAGACACGGACCAGACUCCUACGGGAGGCAGCAGUGAGGAAUAUUGGUCAAUGGGCGAGAGCCUGAACCAGCCAAGUCGCGUGAAGGAAGAAGGUUCUAUGGAUUGUAAACUUCUUUUGUAAGGGAAUAAAAAAGAGUACGUGUACUCUAUUGUAUGUACUUUACGAAUAAGGAUCGGCUAACUCCGUG